rnacentral:rRNA from 1 species
CUACGGGGGGCUGCAGUAGGGAAUUUUGCGCAAUGGGCGAAAGCCUGACGCAGCAACACCGCGUGUGGGAUGAAGCUUUUCGGAGUGUAAACCACUGUCAGUGGGGACGAAAUAUGACGGUACCCACAGAGGAAGCAUCGGCUAACUAAGUGCCAGCAGCCGCGGUAAGACGUGAGGAUGCAAGCGUUGUCCGGAAUUAUUGGGCGUAAAGCGUUCGUAGGUGGCCUGUCAAGUCUGAUGUUAAAGCCCGGAGCUCAACUCCGGUUCAGCAUUGGAUACUGGCAAGCUAGAGUGCAGGAGAGGCAAGGGGAAUUCCUAGUGUAGCGGUGAAAUGCGUAGAUAUUAGGAGGAACACCGGUGGCGAAAGCGCCUUGCUGGACUGUAACUGACGCUGAGGGACGAAAGCCAGGGGAGCAAAUGGGAUUAGAUACCCCGGUAGUC